rnacentral:rRNA from 1 species
GAUGAACGCUGGCGGCGUGCUUAACACAUGCAAGUCGAACGGAAAGGCUCCUGCUUGCAGGGGUACUCGAGUGGCGAACGGGUGAGUAACACGUGGGUGAUCUGCCCUGCACUUCGGGAUAAGCCUGGGAAACUGGGUCUAAUACCGGAUAGGACGAUGGUUUGGAUGCCAUUGUGGAAAGUUUUUCGGUGUGGGAUGAGCUCGCGGCCUAUCAGCUUGUUGGUGGGGUAAUGGCCUACCAAGGCGUCGACGGGUAGCCGGCCUGAGAGGGUGGACGGCCACAUUGGGACUGAGAUACGGCCCAGACUCCUACGGGAGGCAGCAGUGGGGAAUAUUGCACAAUGGGCGCAAGCCUGAUGCAGCGACGCCGCGUGGGGGAUGACGGCCUUCGGGUUGUAAACUCCUUUCGCUAGGGACGAAGCGCGAGUGACGGUACCUGGAGAAGAAGCACCGGCUAACUACGUG